CGUCUAGGCUGAUUGGAAAGUCAGAUGUGAAAUCCCAUGGCUCAACCAUGGAACUGCAUUUGAUACUGCCAAUCUUGAGUACGGAAGAGGAAAGCGGAAUUCCUGGUGUAGCGGUGAAAUGCGUAGAUAUCAGGAAGAACAUCGGUGGCGAAGGCGGCUUUCUGGUCCGAUACUGACGCUAAAGCGCGAAAGUGUGGGGAGCAAACAGGAUUAGAUACCCUGGUAGUCC
rnacentral:rRNA from 1 species